rnacentral:rRNA from 1 species
GACGAACCGUGCGAACGUUUAUUCGGAAUCACUGGGCUUAAAGCGCGUGUAGGCGGGCCGCCGCGUCGGCUGCUGAAAUCCCCCGGCUCAACCGGGGAACGGGCACCGAUACGGGCGGCCUCGAGGGGGGUAGGGGGGACUGGAACUUCCGGUGGAGCGGUGAAAUGCGUUGAGAUCGGAAGGAACGCCCGUGGCGAAAGCGAGUCCCUGGACCCUUCUGACGCUGAGACGCGAAAGCCAGGGGAGCGAACGGG